rnacentral:rRNA from 1 species
UACGUAGGGGGCAAGCGUUGUCCGGAAUCAUUGGGCGUAAAGAGCGUGUAGGCGGCCAGAUAAGUCCGCUGUGAAAACUCGAGGCUUAACCUCGAGCUGUCGGCGGAAACCAUCUGGCUAGAGUCCGGAAGAGGAGAAUGGAAUUCCCGGUGUAGCGGUGAAAUGCGCAGAUAUCGGGAAGAACACCCGUGGCGAAGGCGGUUCUCUGGGACGGUACUGACGCUGAGACGCGAAAGCGUGGGGAGCGAACAGGG